GAUGAAGAACGCAGCGAAAUGCGAUACUUGGUGUGAAUUGCAGAAUCCCGUGAACCAUCGAGUCUUUGAACGCAAGUUGCGCCCGAAGCCAUUAGGCCGAGGGCACGCCUGCCUGGGCGUCACACGUCGUUGCCCCCCCAUCUACUCCUUCGGGAUUGCGGGGGGCGGAUGAUGGCCUCCCGUGCGCCUCGUCGCGCGGUUGGCAUAAAUGCCAAGUCCUCGGCGACGCACGCCACGACAAUCGGUGGUUGCGAAACCGCGGUUGCCCGUCGUGUGCGGUCGUCGCGCAUCGAGGGCUCGAAAAAAUUGCCGGGCUCCGGCUCGGCUUUCAACGCGACCCCAGGUCAGGCGGGGUUACCCGCUGAAUUUAAGCAUAUCAAUAAGCGGAGGA
rnacentral:misc_RNA from 1 species